AACGAACGCUGGCGGCGUGUUUAAGACAUGCAAGUCGCACGGAGGCAUUUUUGUAGCAAUACACGGAUGUCUGAGUGGCGCACGGGUGAGUAGCACGUGAAUGACAUGCCCUUCAGUGGGGGAUAGCCCAGGGAAACUUGGAUUAAUACCCCAUGGUCCUGCAAAGGUAAAGGUGGCGCAAGCUGCCGCUGGAGGAUUGGUUCGCGUUCUAUCAGCUUGUUGGCGGGGUAACGGCCCACCAAGGCUACGACGGAUACCUGGUCUGAGAGGACGAUCAGGCACACUGGAACUGAGACACGGUCCAGACACCUACGGGUGGCAGCAGUCGAGAAUAAUUCACAAUGGGGGCAACCCUGAUGGUGCAACGCCGCGUGGAGGAUGAAGGUCUUCGGAUUGUAAACUCCUGUCAUCCGGGAGCAAGACCUGACGGUUAACAGCCGGCAGGGUUGAUAGUACCGGAAGAGGAAGGGACGGCUAACUUCGUGCCAGCCGCCGCCGUAACAC
rnacentral:rRNA from 1 species